UACGGAGGGGGCUAGCGUUAUUCGGAAUUAUUGGGCGUAAAGGGCGCGUAGGCGGCUUUUCAAGUGACGGGUGAAAGCCCUCGGCUUAACCGAGGAACUGCCUGUCAGACUGGAAGGCUUGAGACCGGGAGAGGUGAGUGGAAUUCCCAGUGUAGCGGUGAAAUGCGUAGAUAUUGGGAGGAACACCAGUGGCGAAGGCGGCUCACUGGACCGGAACUGACGCUGAGGCGCGAAAGCGUGGGGAGCAAACAGG
rnacentral:rRNA from 1 species